rnacentral:rRNA from 1 species
GACGAACGCUGGCGGCGUGCUUAACACAUGCAAGUCGAACGGAAAGGCCCUGCUUUUGUGGGGUGCUCGAGUGGCGAACGGGUGAGUAACACGUGAGUAACCUGCCCUUGACUUUGGGAUAACUUCAGGAAACUGGGGCUAAUACCGGAUAGGAGCUCCUGCUGCAUGGUGGGGGUUGGAAAGUUUCGGCGGUUGGGGAUGGACUCGCGGCUUAUCAGCUUGUUGGUGGGGUAGUGGCUUACCAAGGCUUUGACGGGUAGCCGGCCUGAGAGGGUGACCGGGCACAAUGGGACUGAGAUACGGACCAGAAUCCUACGGGAGGCAACAGUGGGGAAUAUUGCACAAUGGGCGGAAGCCAGAUGCAGCCACGCCGCGUGCGGGAUGACGGCCUUCGGGUUGUAAACCGCUUUCGCCUGUGACGAAGCGUGAGUGACGGUAAUGGGUAAAGAAGCACCGGCUAACUACGUG